rnacentral:rRNA from 1 species
UACGUAGGGUGCGAGCGUUAAUCGGAAUUACUGGGCGUAAAGUGUGCGCAGGCGGCUUCGCAAGUCGAGUGUGAAAUCCCCGAGCUUAACUUGGGAAUUGCGCUCGAAACUACGGAGCUGGAGUGUGGCAGAGGAAGGUGGAAUUCCACGUGUAGCGGUGAAAUGCGUAGAUAUCAUUUGGAACGCCAAUGGUGAAAACAGCUCGCUGGGGGUGCACUGACACUGAGACACGAAAGCCAGGGGAGCGAACGGG